rnacentral:tRNA from 1 species
GUCCCUAUAGUUUAGAGGAUAGAACGGUUGCCUCCUAAGCAACAGACGCAGGUUCGAUUCCUGCUGGGGACAC